rnacentral:rRNA from 1 species
CUUUCCCACAUUCAUCUCAACCCUGAUGUGAAGGAUUCUAUCUCAUGGAAGUUUUCUAAAGAUGGUCAAUACUCUGUGGCCACGGCUUACAGUGCUCAAUUCCUAGGCCUGAUGGACACGGACAUGAAUCAAAUUGUUUGGAAGAAUUGUGCACCCCCCAAAUGCAAAUUCUUCACUUGGUUGGUAAUCAACAACAGGAUUUGGAUGGCUGAUAGACUGCAACGUCGUGGAUGGCCCAACUGCCACUUAUGCCCUCUUUGCAAACAAGUGCAGGAAUCGGCAGCCCCAUCUACUUUUCCAAUGCAGGUACACCGUCAGGAUCUGGGGCAUGCUCAAGAGUUGGCUUGGGCUACCUGA